rnacentral:lncRNA from 1 species
GGGGGAGUAGCGGUGGCUUAAGCCGCGCGGAGCAGCGCAACCUGGGUCGCUCCCUGCUUCGCCGCCGCCUCCGGACCGAGCCAGCGGAGUCAGUGUCCUAGAGACCCUGUAACACCACAAAGCGGACGAAGGAGUCCAUGUUGGGGAACUUGGCAGCGGAGUGACUGGGACCUGGGAACCUACUGUGGGGCCGCGGCCGGACCGAGCGCCUCGACCUCGGUCUGAGGAAACCCUUUUCCAAAGAGAAAUGAAGAAGAAAACUGUAUGUACCCUAAAUAUGGGAGAUAAGAAGUAUGAAGACAUGGAAGGUGAAGAAAACGGAGAUAAUACUAUUUCCACUGGUCUGUUGUACAGUGAGGCUGACAGAUGCCCAAUAUGUCUUAAUUGUCUAUUAGAAAAGGAAGUUGGUUUUCCAGAAAGCUGUAAUCAUGUCUUCUGUAUGACUUGUAUUCUUAAAUGGGCAGAGACACUGGCUUCAUGUCCUAUUGACCGUAAACCUUUUCAGGCAGUGUUUAAAUUCAGUGCAUUGGAAGGUUAUGUUAAGGUUCAAGUAAAAAAACAGCUGAGAGAAACAAAAGACAAGAAAAAUGAAAACUCAUUUGAGAAACAGGUCUCCUGUCAUGAAAAUUCUAAAAGCUGUAUAAGAAGAAAAGCCAUCGUAAGAGAAGAUCUAUUAAGUGCAAAAGUUUGUGACUUGAAGUGGAUACAUAGAAACUCUUUAUACAGUGAAACAGGAGGAAAGAAAAAUGCAGC